GGGAAGACCUGCAUGGAUCACAGCUUUGAGAUGCAGCAGCAUGGAGCCCCCAGCCCUGGAAACUCCCUCUCCCGCAGCCACCUGCUGGGGCGUCCUGCCCGCUCCUCAAAGCUCCCUGGAGGGGUGUCACCCCUCAUCCCUGUCCUCAGGAAAACGAUCCAUCUGGAUGCCUUCCCUCAAAGCCACAUCCCACAGGCUUCCAGCCUACCGGGCCGGGGAGCCGGAGCCUGGAGUGUGUCCUCACCGGAGACCAAGCCCCGGAAACUCAGCUCCACCUCCUUAACACUCCGUCAGAACAGCCAGGCAUGGCCCUUGGGCCCCCUGCCUUCUCACUGGGAAGAGCUGCCCGCCCCGAGCAGGGAGGCUGCCACCCAUGGAGGAGGGAGGCUGCCCACCCCAGCCUCACGAUCUGUCUCCCUAGUGCCAGGGGGCAGAGUCCACUCUGAGGGCCCAGGGAACCCAGGAUUGGCCAAACCCAGCAGGAUGCCCAUAGUGGAGAAGCCCCUGGUGAGUUCCUACCUGGCCCUGCCAUUUCAAUCCCGGUUAGCCCAGAAAUCACCAGGCCCUGCAGGGCCAGGCUCAGUGGGUCAGAAACACCCUCUCCCAGUGGCUGCCCACGUGACUACCAGAACUUCUCCAGGAAGAGGCAAGCCCCGGUCCAGGGGUAUCCCGAGACCCCAGCUGCAUCUCCAAAGGGCCACCUCCACCACGGGUCCUGCGACAGCCAUGGAUUUGGCUCCUCUGGACACAACCAGGCCAGGCAUAGUCAGACAUGUCACUACAAUGGUCACCAACAAGCCUAGUUUGACUAUCAAUCUGGCCGCACCAAGCACAUCCACAGUGGAUACAGGCACAGAGCUCCCUGCUCUGGAUACCACGCUGGGCACAGCCGCGGACUUUGCAACAGAAGGCACAACCAAGUUGGGCACGGUCAUGGAUUUGGUAACCCCAGACCCAGAGAAGCUGGGCAAAGCCAUAGCUACAGCAGGCACAGCCAAGUCAGAUACAACCACAGGGGGUGCAGCCAUGGAUUUGGUGGUGCCAGGUGCAGUCAAGCUGGGCACCACCAGGACAGACACAGCCAUGGCUUUGGCUAGAGCGAACACAGCCAAGCUAGACAUAACUACAGAUUCUUUUGCUUUGGACACAAGCAAGCUGGGCACAGCCACGGGGGAGACCACACUGGACAGAGUCAUUAACCUGACCACAUCAGCCACCUACCCACUGAUGCCAAGCAGAAGCACAGACCCAGCCCCGGACCGUGCUACUGCGGAUGCUGUGACCAAUGGGACCGCAGAGCCCAUCAUGCUGGACCUAGCCAGAGAAACCAAAGGGCUCCCAGAGGCCAGGACGGACGCAGCCAUGUCAGAGCUGGUGCCGGAGCCCAGGCCUAAGCCGGCAGUGCCCAUGAAACCCGUUAGCAUCAACUCAAACCUGCUGGGCUACAUUGGCAUCGACACCAUCAUCGAGCAGAUGCGCAAGAAGACCAUGAAGACUGGUUUCGACUUCAACAUCAUGGUGGUCGGUCAGAGCGGACUGGGCAAGUCAACGCUGGUCAACACGCUCUUCAAAUCCCAGGUGAGCCGCAAGGCCUCCAGCUGGAACCGGGAGGAGAAGAUCCCCAAGACUGUGGAGAUCAAAGCUAUUGGGCACGUGAUAGAGGAAGGCGGGGUCAAAAUGAAGCUGACGGUCAUCGAUACCCCGGGCUUCGGAGACCAGAUCAACAAUGAAAACUGCUGGGAGCCCAUCGAGAAGUACAUCAAUGAACAGUAUGAGAAGUUCCUGAAGGAGGAGGUCAACAUUGCCAGGAAGAAACGCAUCCCUGACACUCGUGUCCACUGCUGCCUCUACUUUAUCUCCCCCACGGGACACUCCUUACGACCUCUCGAUCUGGAGUUCAUGAAACACCUCAGCAAAGUUGUGAACAUCAUCCCUGUCAUUGCUAAGGCUGACACCAUGACCCUGGAGGAGAAGUCUGAAUUCAAGCAAAGGGUUCGAAAGGAGCUUGAAGUAAAUGGCAUCGAGUUCUACCCACAGAAGGAAUUUGAUGAGGAUUUGGAGGACAAGACGGAGAAUGACAAAAUCCGGCAGGAGAGCAUGCCUUUCGCUGUGGUGGGCAGUGACAAGGAGUACCAAGUGAAUGGCAAGCGGGUCCUCGGCAGAAAAACUCCCUGGGGGAUCAUCGAAGUGGAAAACCUCAACCACUGUGAGUUUGCCCUGCUUCGAGACUUCGUCAUCAGGACCCACCUCCAGGACCUCAAGGAAGUGACACACAACAUCCACUAUGAGACCUACAGGGCCAAGCGGCUUAAUGACAACGGAGGCCUCCCUCCGGUGAGCGUGGACACAGAGGAAAGCCACGACAGUAACCCAUGACGACCCUUUCUCUAUAUCAUCACACAUACCCACUUCUCCACACACGCAUCCCGGUACCACCACCACCCACCUUCUUCCUUUCUACUCUGUCCCCCAGGCCUGUCUGGUGUUUGUGGAGUUUGUCUACAGUGUGUGUGUGUGUGUGUGUGUGUGUGUGUGUGUGUGUGUGUGUGAGAGAGAGAGAGAGAGAGAGAGAGAGAGUGUGUGUGUGUGCACGCGUGUGUAUACAUGUGCAGGGGUGAGGUAUUUUCACUGCCCUCCCUGGAAAGUCCCUUGUAAGUUUGGUUCCUCCAUGGCUGUCCAUUAUCUGUCUCCUUUCCUUGUGUCCCAGAACAAAGCCGUGUGCCUCACUCAAGAGGUCUAGGGAAGGUUUCAUUUAAAAAUGAUGGGGAGCAGGUGAGCCACAGGUAACUCUUUCUUAUCUCUGAACCCGCCCACAAACUGGAACUGCAGAGACUCUCUGAGGACAGCUUCGGAGCUGGACCUGGCGGGGGUGGGGGGUGGGGGGUGGCAGUCUAGGGUGAGGCUAGGACUGCCUAGGGGAGGAAGGUCAAGGGAGAGCAGGGUAGACCGGAGCGGGGUUCCUGCAGAAAGAUUUAGUGCCCAGAGGUGGAGAAGAGAGCUCUACCCUUGAGUCUGUGUUGCCUUCACUGUCCAAACCCCACCACCUGUCACUGUCUGUCGUGGUUGCAGACUGCUGCUUUGCACACAUGCCUCGCUUCACUCACCUCUCCUCCCAUUUUCUCCCUUUUUCCCCCUGCCCUCAUUCUUUCAUCCUGCCCCUCUCUGACUUCUUUCAAUUGCUUUGAGUCUAAUCCACUUUAGCUACAUUUCUAUAUUUAGGAUUUAUGCCCAGUCUACUUUCAAAAAUGACUUUAGGCCACCUUAAAAUAAAAUCACAGCCAAGGCACGUGACAGUACAAACCGAAAUUACGAGAGAAAUCAGAUCCACAGGGAGGAGUGGGAAAGAAAGUUUCUGGCGCGCACAAUGAAUGUGUGUUGGCCCAGGCAAAGGAGGAAACAACGAGUUACGCAGUUCCCAGUAUCUGGCUCAAAAGCACAUGUGCUGGUCAAGUGAGACAGUCUUUCCUUAGGCAUUAAGUUCUAGAAGACUUGAGUCUCAACAAGUUUUAAGAGCGAUACACGAUCUUUGCCUUUCUCAGUGGUUUGGCUUCAGAGACCAAUUUUAAACGGCACCUCAGUUUUCCCCAUCAGGAUUCUUCCUCCUUAACGCUGGCUUCUCUGCUACUCACUUCCCAUAUAUGCUUGACUCCCUUUUGACUUCUUUUCCGUUCUCUCUCACUGUGCAUGUCUGUCGGUCUGUCUUUCUCUGCUUUUCCCUGAUUCCCCUUCCUGACCCCUGUAGACAUUCCUAACCAUACCCACAUACAGUUAGCCUUUUCUUGCCUUGCCCUCAGCCCUGUAUUUAUCAAUGCAUAUAUCUCCCCUGUUUAGUUCACAAAUUACUCUUUCUCGUUUAGUCUGGAAGGUGGCUGAAACUUGGGGCUGGGGAAACAAUGUAGCCUUAGGUAAGGGAAAACACCAACUGCUACAGUUUACAAUAACCUCAUACAACCUCCUGUUCCAUCUCCUGGUCCAGCCCUAGGUGUUUUACUGGUCCACUACAAAUCCCAGCAUUUAUAGUCUCUUGUCACUCAGGUGCUAGGAAAACACAGACCAAGAUUCGGUGGACCAGGAGAAAGAGGGAGAAGGCCUCCUGGGCACUGUCCUUCCACCCGUGCCAGCCACCCCCUGCCCCACUGCUGAAUGAAGGCCAUUCCAAGUGCUGCUUCUCCCUCCAUCCCUCCCAGCUGUUAUUGCUGCGGGGCCGUGGCCUUUUUAGUGCCGUGCUUGCCCAGCCCACCACCACAGCCCCCCUCAGCUCUCAGCAGGUUGGAGGGGCCAAGCUGCCUCCUUAGGACAGUGGCUUCCUCCAUUUAUCCAAACCACCCCCUCUCCUCCCAGUGGAACGGAGCUCUCGCCAGCACUGCCCUCCUCCAUCGUCCGUGUCAGCCGGUCCCAGCCCAUCCGUAGGGUGAAAGAACUCAUCAGGAGCUCCUUCUGCCCUUGCAAACCCAUACCAGCUACUUGUAACCAUCUCCAAGAGAAAUGGCAUUGCUCCCUGCCCGUUCAUCUGCAUGAGCUCCUCUUGGCUUCCUUCAAGGGUCAAGAAAGCAACUUUUCUGCUUGUCAGGUUUGUUGAUGUCAGCUGUGUGAGCCCCAGUGUGGGACAAGGGUGUCUCCUUCAUUGCCUAAAGCUUAUUUAUAAUGAUGGGUCACUACAGAUGUGGGGGGAGCAAGGGCUAGGGUCACUUAAAAAAAUCACCACUUGUGGCUGGCCCAGGAUGCAGUCUCUCACACACACACACACACACACCUGCUCCCAUAAUGCAGCCACUUAGGAAGAGUGGUUUUCCUGAAGAGACAUUUCUGGAAUUGCCUUCUUUAUCCUCAAACUUAAAAAAAACAAAACAAAAAAAACCCCAAAACAACAACAAAAAAGAACUUAACAGAAAAUUCCAGAACCCCAUAGAAUGGGAACUCUAGGGAGAAAAAAAAACCCACCCUUCGGUCCACUUAGCAAUAAGAGGGAUCCCUUCCCACCUACCCCGACUACUCCUAUCCCCGCCUCCACCCUGUUAAUGUGAGUAAUGAAUUAGCCUGGCCACAGUCGGUCACUGUAGGCUAGUGGAAAAUGCCCACUGGAGGGCAGAGCCCCCCAUCAGAUGCAUGAAUGUUUGCGAAUGUUGGCUGCCACUGCCCCACAUACUGUGUCUUUAUGGGAUCCCGUCCCCCCACCCACCCACCCGACCAUCUCCACCUGGACACUACUCUCUCAAAGGCUGGUGACUUGUGGGCCAUUCAUCUACAACUAAGUCCUGACGGAGCAAGAGGCCCAAGCCUAGGGGAUGCAAGAACGACCCAUUUCUUAAAUGUUACCAGUCCCAGCCAACCUUUUGGUGACAUUAUGGUUAAAUUUCCCAAUUGAAAGCAAGCCAACAGACACUCAAACUGGUUGUGUAAAUGUUGCUAGACUUUAUGUGUUGUACAACUAAACAUUGCUGUUUGAACAAUAA